AUGACGGACCUGUCAGGAUAGAUUAUCUCGACAUAUCGUGUAAUAUCGUGGCAUCUCGGAUAAUAUUAAGACGUCACGCCAGAACUGAUUCUGGUUUUGUUGACAAAGUUUCUACCACAGGUCAUAAUUUAUGCUACCUAAAUUAAUGUGUUACCUAAAUUUACUAUGUGGUACGUCUUUAUGUAGUCACAGUAAGGCGACAUGCCAUUAUAUAACGUAUCAUGUUACUUAAAUAUAAGUCGACUUGCCAUUUGAUUAACAUGGUUUUGCUUCCUAAAUUUAAACGAGAAAAUCACAAGAUGAAAAUGUCAACUUGCACGAACACAAAAGGCAACACAAAGUAUUUCUUGAAUCUGUGUGUGUUCCGGACAGACGGACGUGUCUAUUUCGACGUUUUCCAUUUGCAUUCGUGACGGGAGAAUGGAGGAGAUGGAAAGUUCUUGAGCUGAAUUUAGUAAAACAGAGACCACCAAAGGAAGUUGUGAGAGACUGACAAUGAUGUACUGAACGAUCAUGAUGGAAAGACAACAUAGUCAAAUGGGGGUUUGCCAUAAGCUAAACUUGUGCAUAGCCUGCUUUGAUAGAGAGCCUUCAGGAUAUUUUCAUCUAUGUGACUUACCGCCUGUAUACCUUGUACACUACAUAUUUUUAAAAACAAUCUAGGAAGAAAUACCCUAAAUGUGGGAGUAAAAUUGAAGCUAUCAGAAACAUUUAUAUUACUAGAAAGUAUUUGAUAAUAUAAUAGCAAUUCUUACAUGAUUACAAUCAGGUAGAUACUUAAGAGCGGAAAGCAUUUUAAGUUGAACUGUUUACUUCUUUCGAUGUAGGACACAAUGGAGAAUUGUUAACAUGCUUCUUGAAUUUAGAAUAUUAGACACCGAUGCGUCUUUGAAAUUUACUUAUACUGUGAACAGUAUUGGAUAUAAAGGCAACAUCAAUGUUAAGUUAUUGACAUCUUAUUUUAUAUAACGUUGAACCAGCUAUAAAGAUUCAACCAUGGCUACAUCUUGUAUCUACUAAUUUACAGGACAUUUUUAUUUGUUUAUAUUGUACAUAGUGCCACGUAUGAAAAAACAGUAAAGAUACAUAUGAAGAUUUGUAUUUUGUUUCCUAAUAUUUGCUGUAUUAGGUAAAGGCAAUAUCUGUAAUGUUAAGUUUGUUUUUGAAUCAUAAUAUAUAUCAGGUGAACAAGAGUAAAAGUUGAGUAAGUCUCCCCGUACAUGGA